GUCUGUGUGCUCAGCUCAGUGGUAGUGUGUGUACUUAACAUGUGCAUGGCCCUGGGUUUAAUUCCCAGCAUUGAAA
rnacentral:tRNA from 1 species